GAGAGUACUGGGAAAGCGUGCGUGGACUUCGUUCGGAGAGGUGGUCGGUUCACGCUGCUCCUGCUCGAGCAAGGUACUGAACACUGUAAUUCUUGGCUUGGUGUGUUCCGUUCAUCCGUAAUCUGUAGAAUUUAUGCUUUAUUUAUGUUGAAUGAAUGAAAAAAAUUGGCGCUUAUUAAUUUUUAUUGUAAUUGUAAUUGGACACGAUGAAGAAUGGGACAGUCUCUUUUACGGAAAUAUGAGUCUAAAAGCAAACAUGACUGCAUCUUUUCAUUAGUUUUUCUUCGUUGGUCAUAAUUUUGUAAAGAAAAUAUAUAGCAGGUUUUUUGUCUUCACACAUAUCUAAGGAUUGCAGCUUAGCUGGUAGAAUCAUGAACCCAACGUUUAAUUUGGAAACGUGCAGAGUAUAUAUGCCAAUUUUUAUUUUUAUUUGGAAAAGUGCAGGGUAUAUAUGCCAAUAACAUGUAGGACAAGUGAUUGAUCACAAUUUACAAACUAGCAGUGAAAGCCUUUUUCAGGAUAGUAGUUCUCUGAGAUAACUUUAUCGUCAAAAUUUAUUUAUCGUUCUCUGGGAUAACCAGUUGAAAGGGGGUAUUGAAAAUAUAUGACAUUUGAAUGCAACUGUGACCUAGCAACUUUCACUCACUAUGAUGUGUGAGGUUCUUUGUCAGCAACUAGGACUGUCCAAUCUCCUCAAUCCGCUGCACGACAUCAGACAUUGUAGGCCUCGAGUCAACAUCUUGACUGCAACACUUUAGCCCGAGCUGCAUAAGUCGCACCAUGCACUCCUCUUUCCCAUCCUUCUGCCCCCGUGCUAGGAGCUCCACGUCGAAUACCUCCGCCGUCCACUCCUCAGGUAUAAUGGAACACACCCACCGUGGCAAAUCUACUCCCCCGCCGUUCUGAAAUCUCUUCUCCAGUGGAGACUUGUGGGUGAGAAGCUCCAGCAGUAGGAUGCCGAAGCUGUACAUGUCAGAUUCCUGGGAGACCCACCUAUUGCGGGUGACCUCAGGUGCACGGUAGCCGGGGGCAUUGGAAUACAUGCCAAGUGUUAUCAGGCCAUGCUCCGACACACAUGCGUCGUGGGUACCGGUGAGCAGGAUGUUAGAAGACUUGAUGUUGCCAUGGCAGCUCGUUGGUCCAGCUAAGUGGAUAGCCUGCACACCAUGCGCAGCAGCUAGUGAGAUAGCCAACCGCUGCUCCCAGUCCAGUGGAGCUGGGCCAGAACCUCGGUCACCUUCAUUCACACAUCAUGAAUUAGUGAUGCCUCAAAAGCAUUAGAAAUUGUAAAGGAAAGCACAUGCUAGCAUUGUUCAGUAUAGACAUUACCGUGGAGCACUUUUGCUAGGCUACCCAUGGGGAUGACAUUAUACACCAGCAACUUCUCAUCCUUGUCACAGUAAUACCACAGCAGUGGCACUAUGUGUUUGUUCUGGAUAGCGCCAAGCAGUGUGACAAGCCGCUCAAAGAUCGCCUCCCCUAAGUCCACAUCUUUCAGCCUCUUGACCACCAGCUCAUAUCCACUAUAAAAUGUCGCUUUGUAUGUUAGCCCUACUGUACCCUUGCCCAGCACUUCAGUUGAUGCCCGCAGCAACUCGUCCAGCUCAAAAACUUGGCCUUUCACUGUUGGCCAAAUGAUAAAAUUUCCCACAUUUCGGGUACUGCUGCUGCUUUCUAGUGGUUGUAUUUUUUUUAUGAAUGUCUAGUUGCUGUGUUUCGGCUGAAGCUAGUUUAUCUUCCCUUCCCCAAGAAAAUAGUGCUAGUCUUUCUUGUACCUGGUGUGGAGCUUUUCUAAGUUUGCGAAGAUGUUCUGCAACCUCUAACAUCUCAGGGCGUUUGUCCUGUUCCAUACUCAAGCAUUUACCUGCCAACUUGGCAAUCUCAUCGAUAGUCUUCAUGUUGCUCGAUGUUGCAAUUGUAAAAUCAAACAUUUCCCUCACCCUCCUAAACUCUUUUGAAAGAGAUCGAAUAAAACUUUCCACCAAGCCAAUCUCCCCAUCCUCUGUUCUUGCUUUUUUUCUGGUUAUCAGUUCCAGGAGCACAACUCCAAAACUAUAAACAUCACUCUUUGCUGUGAGGCGACCAUUCUGAGCAAACAGAGGGUCCAUGUAGCCUAUACUUCCUAUCACAUUUAGAGUAUAUAGAGUCUUUUCAGUGUUGACUAGUCUUGAUAUUCCAAAGUCUGAUAUUUUUGCUCUGAGUUCAUCAUCCAGAAGUAUAUUAGCAGGCUUGAUAUCACCAUGAAUGACCUGGGUAUACAUUUGUGAGUGCAUAUAGGCCAAUGCUUCAGCGCAUUCAAUGGCAAUUCUUAGCCUUAUAUCCAAAGCGAUAGGAAUAUUAUCAUGGUGAAGAAUGUUACUCAGAUUUCCUUUAGGAAUAUACUCCGUGACCACCAUUUGGGCAUUUUCAUCUGCACAGUAGCCGACUAAUCUGACUACAUUCUUGUGAUUGAUUUCACGGUGGACGAUCAACUCUUUGGCAAAACUUUCUCUUACAUUGUAGAUAAACCUCUUGACAGCAAUCAUACUUUUGUCCUCAAGGACUCCUUGAUAAACUUCUCCAAAGGCACCUCUACCAAGUAAAGUCUUAUAGUUGUCAGUAAAUCUUUUUAUCUCAUCUUCUGUAAAACAUUUCACAUUAUGAUUGCUACGUGCUAUCCAUUUCGAUCUGUGCUCUUCAUGGAUAAGUUGUGUUACUAUAUUUUCUGGAUGAUCCAUCUUUGGAAGUAGUAGGGAACUUAUUCAACGUUGGAAGAUAAUUUGACCUAGAAACAGUUUUGGUAGUGGUAAAAGUCAAAUUUAAUACAACAUAUAAAUGAGGUAACAAAUAAACAAAGUACGGAAACGUGCUUAAUUUCCUUGGAUUAAUCAUCAAUGAAGCGGGGCAAUGGGCAACAUACAAAGAUACCAUUUAGAAACAAACAUCUCCUUGAGCUGCCAGAGAUACCCAAUCUAUAUUGCUAUAAUACUUUUUUAGAUAUUCACACAACACUGAAGAUAAUCGUUUCGUGUUUGUUCAUGGAGUACAUCGCUGAGUAAGUACUACUACGUGCUAGGGAGUAUAAUUAAUAUUUAUUGUUCAGUUCUGAUCUGGAUUUUGAAUAGUAGCAGCUUCAUGGUACGAUCUGAGUAAUUCUACAUAAUUGCUUCCUUACAGGGGAAAUGAAAUGUUUUGAACAUGAAGAAAACAGGUUGGAAUCGGCUAAACAAAGAAGUGAAGAAUUUAUGAUACAUAGUCCUAAUAUCUCUGGAAAAAGCCCAGACAGAAGUCUAAGAAAUGUGGUGAAGACACGGAGGUGGGCAAGGUUGAACCAAACAUACCAGUUGAGAAUGGAGGCCGUAACAUAGCACAAUCAAUGGAGCCUUCUUUUGUUAGUGGUCGCGUAGAUCGCCAUGGAAUGGAUCUAGAAGAAAGAACAGAUUGAGUGUAGCUAAUGUAACCUUAUUACUCUAUUCAUGGAUUGCCAUCACCGAUGGUCAACUCUCAGAACACGAACGGGGUGGCCUUAUCUGUGGUGGUUGGGAUGCUUAAUGACAACUGGUACCAAAUUAAAUAAAGGUGAUCAUGUCAAACAAGCUAUGUAAGAGCGUCCCAGUCCAAAGAUCGCAACGGUAAGAG
rnacentral:lncRNA from 1 species